CCUACGGGUGGCAGCAGUGGGGAAUAUUGCACAAUGGGGGAAACCCUGAUGCAGCGACGCCGCGUGAGCGAUGAAGUAUUUCGGUAUGUAAAGCUCUAUCAGCAGGGAAGAAAAUGACGGUACCUGACUAAGAAGCCCCGGCUAACUACGUGCCAGCAGCCGCGGUAAUACGUAGGGGGCAAGCGUUAUCCGGAUUUACUGGGUGUAAAGGGAGCGUAGACGGCGGUGCAAGCCAGAUGUGAAAGCCCGGGGCUCAACCCCGGGACUGCAUUGGGAACGGUGCUGGUAGGGUGUCGGAGAGGCAGGCGGAAGUCCUGGGGUAGCGGUGAAAGGCGUAGAUAUUAGGAGGAACACCAGUGGCGAAGGCGGCCUGCUGGACGAUGACUGACGUUGAGGCUCGAAAGCGUGGGGAGCAAACAGGAUUAGAUACCCUUUAGUC
rnacentral:rRNA from 1 species